rnacentral:rRNA from 1 species
UCUCGGCUCUUGCAUCGAUGAAGAACGUAGUGAAAUGCGAUACUUGGUGUGAAUUGCAGAAUCUCGUGAACCAUUGAGUCUUUGAACGCAAGUUGUGCCCGAGGUCUUGUGGCCGAGGGCACGCCUGCUUGGGCGUCAUGGCAUCGUCGCCUUUGCUCCUUGCUU